rnacentral:rRNA from 1 species
UAGAUACCCUGGUAGUCCACGCCCUAAACGAUGCUGACUAGUUGUUCGGAAUUUACAUUCUGAGUAACGUAGCUAACGCGUGAAGUCAGCCGCCUGGGGAGUACGGUCGCAAGAUUAAAACUCAAAGGAAUUGACGGGGACCCGCACAAGCGGUGGAUGAUGUGGAUUAAUUCGAUGCAACGCGAAAAACCUUACCUACCCUUGACAUGUCACUAACGAAGUAGAGAUACAUUAGGUGCCCGUAAGGGAAAGUGAACACAGGUGCUGCAUGGCUGUCGUCAGCUCGUGUCGUGAGAUGUUGGGUUAAGUCCCGCAACGAGCGCAACCCUUGUCUUUAGUUGCUAUGCAAGAGCACUCUAAAGAGACUGCCGGUGACAAACCGGAGGAAGGUGGGGAUGACGUCAAGUCCUCAUGGCCCUUAUGGGUAGGGCUUCACACGUCAUACAAUGGUGCAUACAGAGGGUUGCCAACCCGCGAGGGGGAGCUAAUCUCAGAAAAUGCAUCGUAGUCCGGAUCGUAGUCUGCAACUCGACUACGUGAAGCUGGAAUCGCUAGUAAUCGCGGAUCAGAAUGUCGCGGUGAAUACGUUCCCGGGUCUUGUACACACCGCCCGUCAUACCAUGGGAGUGGGUUUUGCCAGAAGCCGUUAGCCUAACCGCAAGGAGG